CCCGGGCCUCCCGCUGGACGCGCCCUCCGCGGGCGGGGUUGGAGGGGCGCCGCGGGGUUCGAGGACAGCCUGGGGCUGCAGAAGGCGAUCCGUGUCAGCCCAGGCUAGUGACGGCCUUCCUCGAAGAAAAAAACAAAAAAACAACAACAAAAAAAAGAGGCUGGAGAUGGCUUAACGGUUAAGGUGCCUGCCUGCAAAGCCAAAGGACCCAGGUUCAACUCCCCAGGACCCACGUGCGCCAGAGGCACAAAGGGGCGCCUGCGUGUGGAGUCCGUUUCCAGUGGCUGGAGGCUGUGGCGCGCCCAUCCCCCCCUUCCACAAGUAAACAAGAGAAAAGAAAGAAAAGUACUGGAUAAAGCUCUAUUCCAUUUGACGCAGGCCCUUCCUCACACAACGCCCGGGGCACAGGUGACAGAUCCUGAGGGGUCCUUCUGUACUCCCGACCUCCGUACCCAUCCCAACAUCUGCCGCGGUCAACAACCGAAGCCGGGACACACACCAGUGUGACCUCCUUAGUAUUCUCACGGAUGGGCAAGAUGACCAUGAAAGGACCCAAAGGAAACAACACACAGCGGGGCAUGGUGGCGCACUUCUGUCAUCCCAGAACGCGGGAGGCACAAGUAGGAGGAUCGCCAUGAGUUCGAAGCCACUCUGAGACUACAUAGAGAAGUCCAGGAAUCCACAGACAUUCCUCAUAAGUGGGUCUCUGAGGGUUGCUUCCAGGAAGGAUUAAUUGAAGGAGGAAUGCUUCCCCCAGGUGAGCCCUUCCCCCAGAGUGGGCGGUCCCUCUCCGAGGGGAGGUUUUAUCCUAAGAAGCUCUGGGAAGAAAGGUAUUCUCCUCCCCUCCCACCUGGCUUCCGGUGCUGCUUGCUGUUUGCUGUUUUGCUGCCUUUCAUUGUGGACUGAUGAGCAGCGUCUUUACAGGACACCUCCAGGUCUUCAGUGACAGACUGGGACGGCUGAGGCAUCCAGCGUCAUGGACUGAGCAGCUACCAGGUUCCUUGAUUCUCAGGCCUGUAAUCUGCUGUUGUUGGACUGUCGUAAAAUAAUCCAAUAAAUUCCCUUUUAAUAAAAUUCAUUCUGUUCCUCUA